rnacentral:rRNA from 1 species
AUGCAUCCAAAGUUGAGCAGAUGCGACGGACCUGCAUGUUUGGAAUUGCUAAAAGAUAAAUGGACUGGCACGCAAACGCGAUUGUCUCCAGCAGCCUUCGAUGAAGGGAAGCUGAACCACCUGGCCUUCUUCUUCAAACACUUGGUGGCACGAUUCGGGGAGUUCCGCCAGCAGAGAUCUGCAGCGCGGGAGGCGGAGGUGGAUCGGGCGGCGCGUGCGGUGGCGCUCCGCAUCCUCACCGGCGUCCAUCACGUCUCCCCUCACUUCCCGGUGGAAACCGUGCUGUGGGAGCUUGACAUGGGUGACCAGCGCAGGGCGGAGCGUGUGGUGGGCGACAUCGCAGAGGCGCUGGUCCUGCAGGAGAAGGAGAGCGACUUCAUGGAAGCCUGA